AACGAACGCUGGCGGCAUGCUUAACACAUGCAAGUCGAACGAAACCUUCGGGUCUAGUGGCGCUAGGGUGCUUAACGCCGGGGAAGCUGCCCUUAGGUGCGGAACAACUCCCUGAAAGGGGUGCAAAGACCGGAUAAUGUCUUCGCACCAAAGAUUUAUCGCCUUUGGAUGGGCCGGCGAUGGAUUAGCUAGUUGGUAGGGUAAAAGCCUAACAAGGCGACGAUCCAUAGCUGGUCUGAGAGGAUGAUCAGCCACACUAGGACUGAGACACGGCCCAGACUCCUACGGGAGGCAGCAGUGGGGAAUAUUGGACGAUGGGCGAAAGCCUGAUCCAUCAAUGCCGCGUGAGUGAUGAAGGCCUUAGGGUUGUAAAGCUCUUUUACCCGGGAUGAUAAUGACAGUACCGGGAGAAUAAGCUCCGGCUAACUCCGUG
rnacentral:rRNA from 1 species